UACGUAGGUCCCGAGCGUUGUCCGGAUUUAUUGGGCGUAAAGCGAGCGCAGGUGGUUUAUUAAGUCUGGUGUAAAAGGCAGUGGCACAACCAUUGUAUGCAUUGGGAACUGGUAGACUUGAGUGCAGGAGAGGAGAGUGGAAUUCCAUGUGUAGCGGUGAAAUGCGUAGAUAUAUGGAGGAACACCGGUGGCGAAAGCGGCUCUCUGGCCUGUAACUGACACUGAGGCUCGAAAGCGUGGGGAGCAAACAGG
rnacentral:rRNA from 1 species